rnacentral:rRNA from 1 species
CCCCCCUCAAGAUGAGAUUUCCCAUUUCUUCGGAAAGUAAGAUCCCUGAAAGAUGAUCAGGUAGAUAGGUUUGGAGUGGAAGUGUAGCGAUACAUGGAGCGGACAAAUACUAAUCGAUCGAGGACUUAACCAAAA